ACCCGACGGAAAGUGCCACAGAAAUCAUACCGCCUGCGCGGCCCAGGUCGCGCCGGUAAGGGCGAAACGGCGAGGUAAGAGCUCACCGCUCCUCUGGUGACAGUGGAGGCACGGCAAACCCCACCCGGAGCAAGGCCAAAUAGGGGAGCGAUGGGGUGUCCGGCCCCGCUCCCGGGUAGGCCGCUUGAGGCGGCGGGUAACCGUCGUCCUAGAUGGAUGGCCGUCGCCGUCCUUCGUCAUGAGGGACGGUACAGNNNNNNNNNNCCUCAGUGCGACCUCGCGUCGGUUGGGGUACAGGACUCGGCUUACAGGCCUGCCUAUCGG
rnacentral:RNase_P_RNA from 1 species